rnacentral:rRNA from 1 species
UACCUUGUUACGACUUAGCCCUAGUUACCAGUAUUACCCUAGGCGGCUCCUUGCGGUAACCGACUUUAGGUACUCCCAGCUUCCAUGGCUUGACGGGCGGUGUGUACAAGGCCCGGGAACGUAUUCACCGCGCCAUGGCUGAUGCGCGAUUACUAGCGAUUCCAGCUUCAUGGAGUCGAGUUGCAGACUCCAAUCCGAACUGAGAUAUGAUUUAAGGAUUCGCUCCCUGUCGCCAGGUGGCUGCCCUUUGUUCAUACCAUUGUAGCACGUGUGUAGCCCAGGACGUAAGGGCCGUGAUGAUUUGACGUCAUCCCCACCUUCCUCUCGGUUUGCACCGGCAGUCCCUCUAGAGUCCCCGACAUUACUCGCUGGCAACUAGAGGUAGGGGUUGCGCUCGUUAUGGGACUUAACCCGACACUUCACAGCACGAGCUGACGACAACCAUGCAGCACCUUGUAGAUUGUCCGAAGAAGGACUGGUUUCCCAAUCUGUCAUUCUACAUUUAAGCCCUGGUAAGGUUCCUCGCGUAUCAUCGAAUUAAACCACAUGCUCCACCGCUUGUGCGGGCCCCCGUCAAUUCCUUUGAGUUUCAAUCUUGCGAUCGUACUCCCCAGGUGGAUUACUUAAAACUUUCGCUUANUCACAGAAUGUAUGUUACCUGCAACGAGUAAUCAUCGUUUUACGGNGUGG